GCUUGUCUCAAAGAUUAAGCCAUGCAUGUCUAAGUAUAAAUGGUAUACAGUGAAACUGCGAAUGGCUCAUUAAAACAGUUAUAGUUUAUUUGGUAUUCGAAUUUACAUGGAUAACCGUGGUAAUUCUAGAGCUAAUACAUGCAUUACGCCUGACUUUUCGGAAGGGCAGUAUUUAUUAGAUACAAAACCAAUGCGGGGCAACCCGGUUGUUGGUGAUUCAUAAUAACUUUUGCGGAUCGCAUGGCCUUGAGCCGGCGACGAAUCAUUCAAAUUUCUGCCCUAUCAACUUUCGAUGGUACGGUAUUGGCCUACCAUGGUUACCACGGGUAACGGGGAAUUAGGGUUCGGUUCCGGAGAGGGGGCCUGAGAAAUGGCCACCACAUCCAAGGAAGGCAGCAGG
rnacentral:rRNA from 1 species